CGGGGAUCCAACGGACCUCCCAGAGGACGUGACCUCUAGGCGGAGUCCUGGAGAGAAGCGAUGGCCGGUUGAGGAAAGGGUUCAGUGAUGCGAGGGAUCAGAGGAAAUCAGUGUGAAGACAGUGGAGAGGCACCAACACGAGAUGUACAUUGAUGCCACAGGAAGUGCUCCUUCCAACACAACAUCCUCUCAAACUCGGCAACAGCCAAUGUGUUUCAAAAUAGCUAUGUUUGGAGGGACCUUUACAUAAAUCUACUCUCUUCUAAAUGAUGCCAACUUUCCUGCCCCAUCUACUCACUCGUGUUGGGGACUGAGACGCAGAGGAUGAGCAAGGAAAGGGGAGCGUGAAUUGAUGUCCAUUUUCUGGUUUUGAAAAUGAUUCAAAAGCAGCAAACCCCAAACCAGCCUCCUCAAAAACGAAGUCGUCCUUUCACAGGGGACCCAGCUGUAAGAGUUACCUUAAGAUGGCGACCGAGCGGCCAUUUUGCUGUGGGUCAGAGAAGAACUCCAUGCACCCACAACCCCCACCCCGCAGACCUGGAAUGUCCUGCGCCAUUUGAAAAUGGCCAAUCAUGAAGCUCCAGUUUUACCCUCACCCCGCCACGGCCUUAAAAUGCCCUUACUUGGUAAUCUGCCCUCCCGAGACCAAACCCGCAACUCUUUCACCCAUAAAACACCUCACCCUCCCAUACCGGCACGACUUCCCUGACUCAACCCCUACGUGAGUCACGGAAACUCGCCCGGGGGCCGUGACCCCAAUAAAGGCUUUCUUGGCUCCAUAA